CCUACGGGAGGCAGCAGUGGGGAAUAUUGCACAAUGGGCGAAAGCCUGAUGCAGCAACGCCGCGUGAGCGAUGAAGGCCUUCGGGUGGUAAAGCUCUUUCCUCCGGGCGGAAAAUGACGGUACUGUCGGAGGAAGCACCGGCUAACUCCGUGCCAGCAGCCGCGGUAAUACGUAGGGGGCGAGCGUUAUCCGGAAUUACUGGGCGUAAAGGGUGCGUAGGUGGAUUCUAAAGUCAGAGGUAAAAGGCUAGGGCACAACUGUAGUAAGCCUUUGAAACUGGGAAACUUGAGUGCAGGAGAGGUGAGUGGAAUUCCUGGUGUAGCGGUGAAAUGCUUAGAUAUUAGGAGGAACACCGGUUGCGAAGGCGGCUCACUGGACCGUAACUGACGCUGAGGCACGAAAGCGUGGGGAGCAAACAGGAUUAGAUACCCGGGUAGUC
rnacentral:rRNA from 1 species